AUGGUUAUUGUAUAACUCUAUGUUUUACCUUUAUGGUUUAGUUACGCUUUAUUUACUUUUGUUAUAGAUGAUAGAUGUAUACUUGCUCUGAUAUCUCUAGUUGUAGAUCAUCUUUGGUCUUAUUUUUCGCUGUUGUUGUAGACGCCUUAUAUGUGCUUACAUAUGGCGGGUCUGGGCGCGCUACCGGGAGGGCUUCCGCCGGUCCCUAGGCGUGACAGAGAGAGAGAGCAAUGUGAGGCCGUAGAGCGACAGCGUCUAGGCCGACGUUGCAUGGCGAGGGCAACGAUGCACGGCUUCAGCGGCUCGAGUGGCG
rnacentral:lncRNA from 1 species